rnacentral:rRNA from 2 species
CUGGCGGCUGUAGCGCGGUGGUCCCACCUGACCCCAUGCCGAACUCAGAAGUGAAACGCCGUAGCGCCGAUGGUAGUGUGGGGUCUCCCCAUGCGAGAGUAGGGAACUGCCAGGCA